AGAGUUUGAUCCUGGCUCAGAACGAACGCUAGCGGCGUGCCUAACACAUGCAAGUCGCACGAGAAAUCCCGGGCAACUGGGAGAGUAAAGUGGCGAACGGGUGAGUAGCACGUGGGUAAUCUACCCUGAAGUUGGGAAUAACACCUCGAAAGGGGUGCUAAUACCCAAUAAAGUCCCCGAGACCCCGGUCUUGGGGAUCAAAGAUGGCUGAGGCUUGCAAGCUAUUGCUUUAGGAUGAGCCCGCGCACCAUUAGCUAGUUGGUGGGGUAAUGGCCCACCAAGGCCGUGAUGGUUAGCUGGUCUGAGAGGAUGGCCAGCCACACUGGAACUGAGAUACGGUCCAGACUCCUACGGGAGGCAGCAGUGAGGAAUCUUGCGCAAUGGGGGCAACCCUGACGCAGCAACGCCGCGUGAGUGAUGAAGGCCUUCGGGUCGUAAAGCUCUGUCAGAUGGGAAGAAAGUUCCGGGCGUGAACAAUUCCCGGGAUUGACGGUACCGUCAAAGGAAGCACCGGCUAACUCCGUGCCAGCAGCCGCGGUAAUACGGAGGGUGCAAGCGUUGUUCGGAAUUAUUGGGCGUAAAGAGCGUGUAGGCGGUCGGGUAAGUCAGAUGUGAAAUCCCUUGGCUUAACCAAGGAAGUGCAUUUGAAACUGCCCGGCUUUGAGUACGGGAGGGGGAAGUGGAAUUCCCGGUGUAGAGGUGAAAUUCGUAGAUAUCGGGAGGAACACCGGUGGCGAAGGCGGCUUCCUGGACCGAUACUGACGCUGAGACGCGAAAGCGUGGGGAGCAAACAGGAUUAG
rnacentral:rRNA from 1 species